rnacentral:rRNA from 1 species
CGGGCGGGUGAGUAACACGUGAGCAACCUGGCUCUAAGAGGGGGACAACAGUUGGAAACGACUGCUAAUACCGCAUAACGUAUCGGGAUGGCAUCUUCCUGAUACCAAAGAUUUUAUCGCUUAGAGAUGGGCUCGCGUCUGAUUAGAUAGUUGGCGGGGUAACGGCCCACCAAGUCGACGAUCAGUAGCCGGACUGAGAGGUUGAACGGUCACAUUGGGACUGAGACACGGCCCAGACUCCUACGGGAGGCAGCAUG